AUGGUAAUCCCCCCAACCCCACUGAAGAUAUUCCCCAGAGAUUCUGAAACAGAUUCAUCAACACCUCCGACACUUGUGUGUGAAACGGCUGCGUUUUACCCAGAAGAUAUAAAGCUCAUUUGGAGUAAAGAUGGCAAUGAAGUUAAAACUGGGAUAAACUCCACAAAAGAAAGGAACUCAAAGGGACUCUACAAAGUUUGGAGCUCUAUGGAAGAGACACAGCCUGUACAGAGUGGGGCUCUUUAUAUCUGUCUGGUAUCUCAUAUCAGCCUUCGGAUUCCAGCAGUUGCCAAGUUCACCGUUUCUGAACCAAACCCAGGAUUCUAUGAUAAUGGUGGAAUGUCCGUUAUGAUGAUUAUCCGUUUUACGUUAUGCUUUGUGGCAGUGUUACUGUUGACCAUCAUUCUUAUUGACUAUCUUACAAUCAACCCACAUAAAAGAGGAAGUAAGGAAGAAAACGCUUAGAGGUGAUUGAAUUGUGCUGAUGGAAAUGCACUG